rnacentral:sRNA from 1 species
GUGUUCUUGUGUGUGUUGGUGUAUAUGCCUGUGUUUGUGUGCAUGUAUACUCAUGCAUGUAUACACACUCAUGUUCCACAUGGAUGGAAAUCAAGAAUCAACAUUUGGAAACUGGUUCUCUCUACCUAAUGGAUCUUGGUAAUCAAUCUCAGACCUCAAACUAGGUAUCAAGUCUCCUAGCUUGCUGAAAUAUCUCACUGUCCCUAACCAACUGUUUCUUAUAAUUCAGUCCUGUACAAAUAUAUUCAUAUUAUCUAUGAAUGUUGUCAUGCUCCAAUAACAGCUAAAUGGUUAUAAAAGAGAACUGGUAAAUCAAUCAAUCAAUCAAUCAAUCAAUAAAUAAAUAAAUAAAAUUCACUGACUGGUCCUUGAGAGAAUGGUGGCCACUUUGUUAAGUGUACAGAACAGAAAUGUGAACCCAUAAAUUAUAUGGAUUAUGGUAAAUGAACUUAGCACAGUGCAUAACAUAUAUUUAUCAAGCAUUUCCUGUGUUUGAUAAUAUUAUAAGGGUUAGGUUCAUGGUGGUGGGGAAAAAGCUUGUAUUCACAUGGAAUUUUAAUCCCAGCUGGUAGACAGAUUAGCCAGAAGAUGAGCAAAGAGAGGAAGUCUCAGGAAGUUUAUGUCACCCCAAUGCUUAAAGUGUGAUUACAGCUUCGUUCAAAAGAAUGAGAGUCAGUGGGAUUCUCUCCCCCUUAUAAUCAUUCCAAACAGAAACAUGAUUGACCUCAGUUCCUAGCCAUAACAUCUACUCAGAAAGGUCUAUUUCAUCAUCACCUUUAUCUUUAGCGUAUGAUAUGCUGCUAGCACAGGCCUGACACAGAGAAAGUGCUAAAUAAGUAUUGAGUCAAUGAAAUAGAAAGGAGUCAUUAUUUUGUGCAUUAUUUGCGUUGACAGGACACUGCCCACUGCUCUUUGGUUCUGUCUACUUUUCACAGUCUAGAUGAGAGGUAGUUUUGUUUUCUAAAAUGACUUCCUCAGCCACUGCUCCUUGAGAACACAAAUGAAGAAAAAGGAAAAGUCACAGUGACGUGUUGGAAGAAAACCGAACCUGCUCUAAUGCGAGCCAUUGGACUUGGGAAUCGUGAAAAUGUAGGCUGUCAUGCCAGGGGAGGAAGAACAAAGAGAAAUCAUUUCGUUCUUUCAAGUCCUUUAUCCAGGCUGCCACCACAAGGGGAGGCCACGAUUUAAGGUAGGUCUUCCCUGCUUCAAAUGAUUCAAUGAAAAACAAUCUCUGUGUGGUCUUAGUUAAUUCCUGAUGUAGUCAAGCUGACAACCAAGAAUAGCUAUCACAUAAAUGAAUGGAGACUUAUGCACAGAAUUUA